UCAAGCUAAGAAGGGCGCAAGGGGGAUGCCUUGGCAUUGGUAGCCGAUGAAGGACGUAGCGAUCUACGAUAAGCCACGGGAAGUCGAAAGCAGGCAAUGAUCCGUGGAUUUCCGAAUGGGGAAACCCGGCAGAGCAAUACUCUGUCAACUCCUUGUGAAUAAAAUAGCAUUGAGUAGGGAACCUCCUGAACUGAAACAUCUAAGUAGGGAGAGGAAAAGAAAUCAACCGAGAUUCCGCUAGUAGUGGCGAGCGAACGCGGAAGAGGCCAAACCAAGAGUAGUAAUACUUUUGGGGUUCGGACUGAGUACGGUAUUGACAAGAGUUAGUAGAAUGGAAUGGGAAGUUCAACCAUAGAGUGUGAGAGUCACGUAUACGAAAACUUGAGUCAGCCAUCAGUAUCCAGAGUACCGCCGGACACGUGAAACCCGGUGGGAAUACGGGGGGACCACCCUCCAAGCCUAAAUACUCACCAAUGACCGAUAGUGUAUAGUACUGUGAAGGAAAGGUGAAAAGAACCCCUGGCGGGGAGUGAAAAAGAACCUGAAACCUUGUGCCUACAAGCACAUAGAGCACGUCAACGUGUGAUAUGGUACCUUUUGUAGAAUGGUCCGGCGAGUGAAUGUCACUAGCGAGGUUAAGAACUUAAGGUUUGCAGCCGAAGCGAAAGCGAGUCUUAAUAGGGCGAGUUUAGUUAGUGGUAUUCGACCCGAAACCGAGUGACCUAGCCAUGAGCAGGCUGAAGUGGAGGUAAAACUCCAUGGAGGGCCGAACCCACUCCCGUUGAAAUGGUAGGGGAUGACUUGUGGCUAGCGGAGAAAUUCCAAUCGAACUCGGAGAUAGCUGGUUCUCUCCGAAAUAGCUUUAGGGCUAGCCUCGAUUUGACAUUACCGGAGGUAAAGCACUGAAUGGGCUAGGGGCCGAGAGGUUACUGAACCCUAUCAAACUAAGAAUGCCGGAUAAUGAUAAUCGGGAGUCAGACAGUGUGAGAUAAGUUUCAUUGUCAAAAGGGAAACAGCCCAGACCCACAGCUAAGGUCCCAAAGUACAGUUAAGUGGUGAAGGAUGUGGAAUUGCAUAGACAACCAGGAUGUUGGCUUAGAAGCAGCCACUCAUUAAAAGAGUGCGUAAUAGCUCACUGGUCGAGUGAUUCUGCGCCGAAAAUUUAACGGGGCUAAACUGUACACCGAAGCUUGGGAUACAUCUAAUGUAUGGUAGGAGAGCGUUGUAUACGGGGUGAAGUCAGAGCGGAAGCGCUGGUGGACUGUAUACAAGUGAGAAUGCCGGAAUGAGUAGCGAGAAUUAUGUGAGAAUCAUAAUGGCCGAAAGACUAAGGUUUUAGAAGGAAGGUUCGUCCGCUUCUAGUCAGCCGGGAGCUAAGGCGAGGCCGAAAGGCGUAGUCGAUGCACAUACGGUGGAGAUUCCGUAGCCGCCAUUAAUUUAAACAGAGGGACACUUUCAAGGGGCAUGACCCGGGCGUUGGUAGACCCGGGCGUAAGGGACCGAAGAUUAGUAGGGAAGCAUGCUUUAAGGAAGGCGAGAAAAGCUCUGUGUAUAGAAGAUGGCGCCCGUACCGCAAACCGACACAGGUAGUCAGGAAGAGAAUUCUAAGGCCAACGGGAGAAGGGUAGUUAAGGAACUCGGCAAAUUGACCCCGUAACUUCGGAAUAAGGGGUGCUCACGAGAGUGAGCCGCAGUGAAUAGGUCCAGGCGACUGUUUAUCAAAAACACAGCUCUCUGCUAAAUCGAAAGAUGACGUAUAGGGGGUGACACCUGCCCGGUGCUGGAAGGUUAAGAGGAAGGGUGCAAGCUCUGAAUUGAAGCCCCAGUAAACGGCGGCCGUAACUAUAACGGUCCUAAGGUAGCGAAAUUCCUUGUCGGGUA
rnacentral:rRNA from 1 species